rnacentral:rRNA from 1 species
GACGAACGCUGGCGGCGUGCUUAACACAUGCAAGUCGAACGGUAAGGCCCUUCGGGGUACACGAGUGGCGAACGGGUGAGUAACACGUGGGUGAUCUGCCCUGCACUUCGGGAUAAGCCUGGGAAACUGGGUCUAAUACCGGAUAGGACCCUGGGAUGCAUGUCCCGGGGUGGAAAGCUUUUGCGGUGUGGGAUGGGCCCGCGGCCUAUCAGCUUGUUGGUGGGGUGAUGGCCUACCAAGGCGACGACGGGUAGCCGGCCUGAGAGGGUGACCAGCCACACUGGGACUGAGAUACGGCCCAGACUCCUACGGGAGGCAGCAGUGGGGAAUAUUGCACAAUGGGCGCAAGCCUGAUGCAGCGACGCCGCGUGAGGGAUGACGGCCUUCGGGUUGUAAACCUCUUUCAGCACCGACGAAGCGCAAGUGACGGUAGGUGCAGAAGAAGGACCGGCCAACUACGUGCCAGCAGCCGCCGUAA